rnacentral:lncRNA from 1 species
CACAUUUUUGCAUGGUUCUUGAUUGACUUUCUGGUGCUCUGCCUGGAGGUCUUUGCUUAUCUGUGAGUUGCCUGAGUCACAUUUUUACAUGGUUCUGGUGCUCUGCCUGCAGGUCAAGAAGGAGCCAGUAUCUCCAGGAGGAGUGAGAGAGUGCUCUGCCAGUGUGAAGUGUGAAUCCUUGAGAGGCUGUGGCAAGGGUCCAUGCCUGAAUGUGUAGAACAAGAACAGCUGGAGGCUGUGGCUUUCUCCAGGAAGAGGUUUCUAAAUCUGCCUCUUAGAAGAUAUCAGAAAGUUAAACUAUUCCGUGAUAUUGAAUAAGUCUCACAAGAUCUGGUGGGUUUAUCAGGGGUUUCUGCUUUUGCUUCUUCCUCAGUUUCUCUUGCUGCCGCCGUGUAAGAAGGACCUUUUGCCUCCCACCAUGAUUCUAAGUCCUCCCCAGCCACGUGGAACUGUAAGUCCAAUUAUACCUCUUUUUCUUCCCAGUCUUGGGUAUGUCUUUAUCAGCAGUGUGAAAACAGACUAACAUAAUUUUGCAUUCUGCAACUUUACUGAAUUCAUUUAUCAGCUCUAAAAGUUUCCGGUAGAGUCUUUAGGUUAUUCUAUACAUACGAUCAUAUCUACAAACAGGCUUUCAUUUGGUCUCUUUUCGAAUCAGAAGACCCAGAAAACUUGGAUCCACUUCUGGCUCUCAUCCCUCUGGGCAGUGUGAUUUGGUCCUGCCUUUCCAAUACCUAUUCAGGAGCAAAAACCAUGAUAAACUCCCUUUGCAUCUUUUGUAAGAGAGCUAGACAAACGCCGGAGAGUUUCUCUGCAGUUGUGUGACCUUGGGUAGUUUCUUCAACUACAGAAAGAGAGUUGAGCAGAUGCUCCGGCUGCCACUCCAUCAUAUAUUGGAAACAGCAUUACUUUAUAGUAAAUCAUGACCACGGUGUAUGGCAAUGAAGUUGCAUCUGAAGCAGCCGGCACCCUAUGUGCUAGCUGGCUUUUAGACCAGGAGACUGUGAAUCUGUGGUCAGGAUCUCUUUAGGGCUGCUAAAUAUAUACUACCCACUAUCACUCGCUGGAGCUGCAGACCCUAGUUUUAGAGUUUCACUUCUUAAAGACCUUCAUCCUUAUUAAAAUGGUAAUAUCCUUACUGUCGGAAUUGGGAAGAAGGAUAAAUACAUACAUGGAGGAGCAAUAGAAGUCUACCUUAUGGAGCAUGUGGAGCAGGUAAAGCAGCUACGGCUUAGAAAGGCUGAGGAACUUGCCUGAGGCUAUCCAGCUACUGAGAGAUAAACUGGGGUGUGAAUUCAGAGAGCUUGACUCCUGAGGCUCCACCUGUGCCUAUAAUUCCAGCAUGACACCUGGUAAUGGGCACUCAGUAUAUGCUUGUUGAUCUAAACUCAGUGUGUGUGUGUGUGUCUGUGUGUGUCUGUGUGUGUGUGUGUGUGUGUGUGUGUGUGUGUGGUCUUCCUCUCACAUCCAAAGCUACUAGCACUGAGGAAGUUGGGCGCUUUGAGCUGACAUGUUAGAAGUCAGUCUACAUUGAAGCUGCCAUGCUGAAGAACUCAUGUGGGAGAACACACAGAAAUCGAGAUGCCUGAGGAGCCCCAGCUGUACCAGCCUCUAGCUCUCUGAGUCUUCUCAGCAAGAACUGUCAAACAUGAGAGUGAAGCAGCCUUCAGAUGACUCUGGCCCCAGUCUUCAAGUGCCCUAGCUGGUGCCAAGUGGAGCAGACAAGCUGCCACCCACCAAGCCCUUCCCAAAUUGCAGACUAGGAACAAAAUAAAUGUUAUUUUAAGCCACUAAAGCUGCCGCUAAUGGAGUUGGACUCAUGAGUGAGGGAGAAAGUGCCUGUGAAUGACAUCAUUAUGCGACAUCAUAGGACAGUUUUUUUUUUCUUUUAUUCACUCGUCUUUCUUUUAUUUCAACUGAUGAUAUCAGGUGGCUUCUUCAAAUGAUUUUUAAGUAUCUCGAUGAUGAUGAAGAACAAAGACAUCAAUCAGGAUUCAGGAAGACAGCUUUUGCGGAAAAUGCUUAAAGGGAAGCAUCAAGGAUUGGUGUUGAUAUUUGAAAGUUUAAGAGUGGUAUACUUUUAUUCAGUCAACACAUGACAAAUGUAAAAGGCACUCAUUUGUUGUUCCUGGAAGAAGCCUGGCAGCAUUCCAUUCAGACAUCUGCCCUUUCAUCGUCCCACUUUUUACUUAUUGCAGUCCUUUCAGUCUGAAUAUUUCCUCCUGACGCAUCUUCUGCCGUCCGAAAUGACUCCCUGCUCCCAGAUCCUGUAGCCCUUAUUAUUGACACCUUUCAUUUAGAAAUUUAGCACAUGUCACAUUACACCAUUAUUGAAUAAAUAAUGAAUAAAUAAAUAAAUAAAGAUGUAUGUCCUUCCCAAGUAUAUCAGAGAACUAUCUGGACAAUUUCUUUCUUUCCCAAUUCUCAGAAUCAGCAGUAUUCUGUCAAGAAACAUUUAUCGACGAUGAUGGCAAUAGUCGAUUAAAAUCAGAUGAAGUUUUAUUUUUAAAAAAAGGUUGAGCGGAGAGACAAGGCUGAAGGUUUGGAAGUUGAGACAACCAUCUUCAAUAAACGUUUUCUCAUCUAAGGGCUGUAUGUACAUCAUUUUGGGGAAGGUAGAGAUUGAAGGAGGAAGAACAUCACUGGAGGAAGAGACAGCAGUUUGUCUUUCGAGUUUCAAUAAAGUUUCAAAAAUCUU